UUUAUUGAGAGUUUGAUCCUGGCUCAGGACGAACGCUGGCGGCGUGCUUAACACAUGCAAGUCGAGCGAUGAAGUU
rnacentral:rRNA from 1 species